GACGAACGCUGGCGGCGUGCCUAACACAUGCAAGUUGAGCGACGAACCAGGGCUUGCCCUGGGGCAAAGCAGCGAACGGGUGAGUAACACGUGGGUAACCUACCCCGAUAACCGGGACAACCCGAGGAAACUCGGGCUAAUACCGGAUGUGCUCACUGGACUUCGGUUCAGUGCGUAAAGGAAGCUUCGGCCUCCGUAUCGGGAGGGGCCCGCGGCCCAUUAGUUUGUUGGUGAGGUAACGGUUCACCAAGACCGCGAUGGGUAGCUGGUCUGAGAGGACGAUCAGCCACACUGGGACUGAGACACGGCCCAGACUCCUACGGGAGGCAGCAGUGGGGAAUCUUGCGCAAUGCGCGAAAGCGUGACGCAGCAACGCCGCGUGGGGGAAGAAGGCCUUCGGGUUGUAAACCCCUUUCAGGAGGGACGAAGGUUCGGCGGUGAAUAGCCGUCCGGACUGACGGUACCUCCACAAGAAGCCCCGGCUAACUACGUG
rnacentral:rRNA from 1 species